UAGGGAAUCUUCGGCAAUGGGCGAAAGCCUGACCGAGCAACGCCGCGUGAGCGAUGAAGGCCUUCGGGUCGUAAAGCUCUGUUGUUAGAGAAGAACAAGUACGAGAGUAACUGCUCGUACCUUGACGGUACCUAACCAGAAAGCCACGGCUAACUACGUGCCAGCAGCCGCGGUAAUACGUAGGUGGCAAGCGUUAUCCGGAAUUAUUGGGCGUAAAGCGCGCGCAGGCGGUCUCUUAAGUCUGAUGUGAAAGCCCACGGCUCAACCGUGGAGGGUCAUUGGAAACUGGGAGACUUGAGUGCAGGAGAGAAAAGUGGAAUUCCACGUGUAGCGGUGAAAUGCGUAGAGAUGUGGAGGAACACCAGUGGCGAAGGCGGCUUUUUGGCCUGUAACUGACGCUGAGGCGCGAAAGCGUGGGGAGCAAACAGGAUUAGAUACCCUGGUAGUCCACGCCGUAAACGUUGGGCACUAGGUGUGGGUCUCAACCAACGAGAUCCGCG
rnacentral:rRNA from 1 species